CAGGUGGCAAGUGAAGGACCUUCAGACUACGGACUGACUCUGCCCAACUAGGCUGGCCCUUGGAAACUCCAGGAAGAGGUAGAAGAAGGCUGAGCUAUGAACUUGAGUGACUUGGGGCUCCUGAGCUGUGUCAUGUUUGUGUGAUUCUUCCAGACCCUCCAGGUGUCCUUAUUUUCCAGGAUUUACAGAAGCUGUCCCAGUUUCAGAUUUGAUCCUGGAAUGUCCCACUUUAGGACGUCCCUAUUUUCAUCAGAGAAAUGUUGGAGGGUACGGAGUUCUGUGACCCUCGAACCAAGGAGAUAAGUAACAGUACAACCUUUAGAAGACAUCUGAAGGCAGCCCUGUACAGUGCUACCUCUGGUUAUGUACUUAAUUCGUUCCGGAGGUCCGUUCUUAACCUAACACUAUUCUUAACCUGAAGCACCACUUUAGCUAAAGGGGCCUCCCGCCGCUGCUGCCGCGCCGCCGCUGCACGAUUUCUGUUCUCAUCCUGAAGCAAAGUUCUUAACUCGAGGUACUAUUUUUGGGUUAGCGGAGUCUGUAACCUGAAGUGUAUGUAACCUGAAGCAUCUGUAACCCGAGGUACCACUGUAUAGAGAAGUUCUUAAAUGGUUAAUGUUUUAUUAUGUUUUUAUAUAUGUUUGGAAGCCACUCAUAGUUGGGGCAAUCCAGUCAGAUGGACGGGGUAUAAAUAUUAUUAUAAUUAAUAUUAUUAAUAUUAUUAAAUAGGAUGUCCCUAUUUUCAUUGGAGAAAUGUUGGAGGGUAUGUUAUUCUUCCAUGCUGAUGUCUGGCUUGUCCACUUAUUCUGAGGCAGGCUGAAAAUCUAAACCACUUAGCUAGGAAGAAACCCCACUGAACUCAAACGGACUUACUUCUGAGUAGACAUGGCUAGAAUUGCACUGUCACUCCUCAGUCCCCUGACUGCUGCUCAUGCGCCAGGCCUGACAGGAUGUGGGCAGUUGAAUCUUCCCACAUGGUUAUCUUCCCAUAUUGCAUCAUUUCAAGCUCCUUUUUCUUAGCGCUGAGCUGGGGUUGAAUACAGCGAGACUUCUUCCCAACUCUGCUGCCCACUUCUUGAAAACUGUUACUUCACUGGGGCCAUAUUUGUCAGGUGAUUUCCAGCAGGAAGAUGGCACUGGGGGGAAAGGAUUUAAACCCCUCUCCCCCAGGGCUGCAAUCCUGAUCUGGAUGUGCAGGCUCCCACAGCUGUGAUUUGCAAAAGGACAAAACACCCCACAUGCCAUGGGAAGGGUCAGGCAUGAGACUUCUACAUAAUGUCACAACUUAAUCACCCCUCUCUCUCUCUCUCUCUCUCCCGCCCCAGGAAUCCUGGGACUUAUAGCUGGCUUAUACUGAGUCAGACCAUUGGUCCAUCUAGCUUACUACCGUCUCUAAUAAUAAUAAUUAUUAUUUUUUAUUUAUACCCCGCCCAUCUGGCUGGGUUUCCCCAGCAUCCUUGGGCGGCUUCCAACAAAAUAUUAAAAUACCAUAAUGCAUCAAACAUUAAAAGCUUCCCUAAACAGGGCUGCCUUCAGAUGUUGUCUAAAAGUCUGGUAGUUGUUGUUCUCUUUGACAUCUGGUGGGAGGGUGUUCCACAGGGCAGGUGCCACUACCGAGAAGGCCCUCUGCCUGGUUCCCCGUAACUUGGCUUCUCGCAGUGAGGGAACCGCCAGAAGGCCCUCAGAAGGCAGAACAAUGGGGGUGGAGAUGCUCCUUCAGAUAUACUGGGCUGAGGCCGUUUAGGGCUUUAAAGGUCAGCACCAACACUUUGAAUUGUGCUCGGAAACGUACUGGGAGCCAAUGUAGAUCUUUUAAGACCGGUGUUAUGUGGUCUCAGAGGCCACUCCCAGUCACCAGUCUAGCUGCCACAUUCUGGAUUAACUGCAGUUUCCGGGUCACCUUCAAAUGUAGCCCCACAUAGAGCGCAUUGUAGUAGUCCAAGCGGGAGAUAACCAGAGCAUGCACCACUCUGGCGAGACAGUCUGCGGGCAGGUAGGGUCUUAGCCUGCGUACCAGGUGGAGCUGGUAGACAGCUGCUCUGGACACAGAAUUGACCUGCGCCUCCAUGGACAGCUGUGAGUCCAAAAUGACUCCCAGGCUGCGCACCUUCAGGGGCACAGUUACCCCAUUCAGGACCAGGGAAUCCUCCACCCCCGCCCGCCUCCUGUUUCCCAAAAACAGUACUUCUGUCUUGUCAGGAUUCAACCUCAAUCUGUUAGCCACCAUCCAUCCUUCAACCACCUCCAGACACUCACACAGGACCUUUACCGCCUUAACUGGUUCUGAUUUGAAAGAGAGGUAGAGCUGGGUAUCAUCUGCCUUUUGAUGGACCCCCAGCCUAAACCCCCUGAUGAUUUCUCCCAGUGCCUGCAUGUAUACCUUGAAAAGCAUGUCUACACUGACUGACAGAAGCUUUCUGGGGUUUCAGGCAGGAGACACUCCCAGACCUACCAGGAGCUGCCGGGGAUUGAACCUGAGUAAGGCAGUUUCCAAAGUUCCUAUGUUCCGCGCUACUGGCACAAAUGAAAAAACUACACAGUGUGGUUAAGUGCUGUUGUUGUUGCCAUUUAUAAUAAAAUAUAAUUUCCCCUUUGCUCUUUUGUGCAGGAUUAUGUAAUGCAGAAUAUGAUUAUAAUUCACAGCUCCAUAUAGCAGAGAGGAAUGGUGCACCAGACAUUAAACCAAGCAAACUGUCUGGCUACAGAGCCCCACUUGAUCGCCAACAUUUAUUCCGUUAAGUAAGAUCCUGGCAACGCUUCCCUGCACUUCGCAUCCCUUCUCCUCUUGCAACAGAAUGCCUUCCAUGCUGGGCUUGCUUAUCCCACCAAGCAUGACCUCAGGGUAUAUUUUGAUACCAUAGUGCAGCAGCAACCGCCGUGAAACCAUGUGACAAACCAAAUUCAAAAUAACCCAAGACAGAGAUGAUGAGAUACAUUAGCUCAUGUCCAGUAAUCAUCACCCCUGCCAGAAAAUCUCUUAUCCUAUUGUCCUGAGCUUUCCAGUCAUCUUCCAUUUCACCCCAAAGGGAGUAGAUGGAAAUACUUGCUGCUUUGGGGUACCCAGAUGAUUGGACAUAGCCAUCCCAGUGCAGGGGGGGAGCUCACUGCUGAUACUUUCCCUGCCCCCCUUUUUUCCUUGCUCAACAUUUUGAGCAGUGCCAGGAAGAGGCUGAAUUUCCCACAGUGCCCCUGGCCAACAGUUGCUGUGGGGCACCGUGGGAAAUUCAAGGGCAUCCAGGCACCCAGUCCGCCAGGGACUCCUGACAAAGGAGGGGCCUCUCCUGGGCUCAUCUUGCCCAUGGCUGUGAAUUCCCUUGAGAUCGGAAACUUGGACUGUCUCAACCAAGUGGAACCACGUAGCACCUGUUCUGAAGAACCUGCACCUGUUAUAUGGUAUUGAGCCCAAUUCAAGAAGUUAGCACGAACGUAAAAGGUCCUAAGGAGGGACGCAGGUGGCGCUGUGGUCUAAAACACAGAGCCUGGGGCUUGCCGACUGGAAGGUCGGUAGCUCAAAUCCCCACGAUGGGGUGAGCUCCCGUUGUUCGGUCCCUGCUCCUGCCAACCCAGCAGUUCAAAAGCAUGUCAAAGUGCAAGUAGAUAAAUAGGUACCACUCCGGCGGGAAGGUAAACGGCAUUUCCGUGCGCUACUCUGGUUUGCCAGAAGUGGCUUAGUCAUGCUGGCCACAUGACCCGAAAGCUGUCUGCUGACAAACGCUGGCUCCCUCGGCUAGUAAAGUGAGAUGAGCACUGCAACCUGAGUCGUCCGCGACUGGACCUAACGGUCAGGGGUACCUUUACCUUUACCUAAAAGGUCCUAAACAAUAACAUAAGACUCAGAUAUCUGAAGGAACUUCAGUCUCAACAAAAAUUGAUCGAGGUGUUUCAUGUUUUCUUUGUACAGUACUGGAGUACACCACAUUUGAUAGAAUCUAGUGCUAUGCUGAAUUUUCUCACCAUUCUCCAUAAAUGAGAAAAGGAAUUGCCUUUAAAAACUAUGAAAUGGGAGAGAAAAUGCCAGUGGACCUCGAGGUGCAGGGAGUACAAUCCUGUUAUUGUGCUUACCUUACUUUUGAGGCAAGGGGUGCCUUUCCUUUCUUUCACUCUGACAAUCAUCUCACUGGUGGUCUGCACUCCGCAGCCUUCCUAGAUGCCUGCAGUUCAAAGAAGCAUUGUUGGGUGGCUCCUCCUAUUACUUCCCACCCAGAUGAGGAAUUGUGGGCAGCCGGGGAGGCUGCAGAGUGUUGGGUAAAUGUUUCCGGGGAAGAAAAAAUACACACCAAUUUGGCCACCUUGCAGUGAAAGGAUAACCUCAAAACUCUGCACUCACAAAAAUCCUAAAGAAAGAGGCCUGAGACUGAUGCAUUUUUUUAAAAAACACCUCCCAGCAUUAAAUACACAGUGAUUCCAAAUUAAAUAACUAACAAUUGCUUUGCCUGUGUGUUUGGGCUAUUAUUUAUUCAAUUGCAGUCCUGGGCUCAUUGAAUUCACCUAGGACACCUUCCUCAAUAAUGUUCUUGUCUUCUCUUCAAUGCACCUUUUGAAAACACUGGGCAUUUCCUGACUCUCUGUCAUGCAUCACUCUCCUUUAUUGAUUUAACACUCAAGCUCCUUUUAUAGAACGGAAGCAUUUUGGCUACCUCUGGAAUAUAGUUCAUUCUCAAUAUAUGCUUUCUGCUCUUCUCUCUGUCUCCCAGUUUGCAUGAAGGUAGCAAGGGCCAGUGGUAAUAUAGUGAAAGUUGUAAGAUGUCCCAAGUAAUAUUAUCAUUUCAUUCUUGUAGGCUUCAGAGCUUCAGGAAAACAGCAUGAAAUAUUUCAAAUGAAUAUAAACAGGGGGAAAGUAAAUGAAAGGCCACUCCUAUGUGAGUUUACUCAGAAACAAAUCCCACUGAGUUUUAUUUGACUUACAUGUUAAUUUUUGGAGACUUAUAGCCUUGAAAUCAGAAUUUUCCACCCUCAGUGAAUUUCUGUCACCUCCAGAAAGUUUAGUUUAAAAAUAGGCUCAUAAUCCUCAGUGCAAUCAUCUCUUAUUAUCUUUUGCUCAUGCCAGGCUAACAGGAGGUUCUGGCCAGUACAGAUACACUUCUUAAAAUGAAUUUUAAAUGCAAGACAUUUUUCCUCCAUAUAUGGUGCACUGAUUUCUAGGUUCCUUUGUGGCACGUGUUGAGAGUCCGCUACCACAGUUCAGUAAUCGUGUAAACUCUAUAGAAAGUAUUUCCACAAUAACCUAGUGAAAGGCACAGAGCCUAGGGCUUGCUGAUCAGAAGGUCGGCAGUUCGAAUCCCUGUGAAGGGGGGAGCUCCCGUUCCUCGGUCCCUGCUCCUGCCAACCUAGCAGUUCGAAAGCACAUCAAGUGCAAGUAGAUAAAUAGGUACCGCUCCGGUGGGAAGGAAAACAGUGUUUCCGUGUGCUGCUCUGGUUUCGCCAGAAGUGGCUUAGUCAUGCUGGCCACAUGACCCGGAAGCUGUAAAGCGAGAUGAGCACGCAACCCCAGUGUCCGUGACUGGACCUAACCCUCAGGGGUACCUUUACCUUUAAUUGCACCUAAGCUUAUUGAUUUCAAGUUCAGUUUUUAAGGACAAAUGCAUUUCUGAAGCAGUUUUCAGGCUUUUCUUUUUUUAAAAAAACCCUUACGAAAAUUCAUCAGCAUUUUAGCAAUAAUUUCUCCCAAUAGACACAUUUUUAUAUGCAGUUUUCGCAAAUAUACACAUAUUUUUUUUUGCAAGCACUUUCCACUAAUUUAAUGCAACUCUAUUUGUUAUUUUCACAUAGGUGCAUUCACAUGCACACUUCCAAACCCUGUUAUGCAUAUUUUAGUACAUGUUGCUUGGCUGGAGAAACACAUUGCAAAAUUCAGAAAAGUGCAAAUUUGUAAGGAUGGAGGUGUUUGGUUCAUACAUUGUUAAAGAAAUUGUGGAUUUGGUAGCCUUUAAAUGCGAACUGAAUCUAAUUGCUCCCCUAUCCCUUCUCCCAGCCAUAGCAAGAGAAGUUGGGGAUUUAACCUAUGAUCAUCUGUACGCAAGGCAGAUUCUCUACCACUGAGCUGUGGCGCUUCCACAAAUUAAUGCUGCUCCCACAACCAUGACUUUAUAGUGCUUCAAUCUAUCACACACACACCAUAACCAACCACUGUUUUGACUGUCAUUGCUUCCUGCGUAAUAUUGGUGCCAAGAUCCUCUGCUGCUGCCUUUGGGGCAUUUUGCUAGUUAAUAAAUAUAACUGAAAGCACUGAUUAAUUCAUUGGUACAAUUUUAUGGUUAGUAAUCAUGGAUAUUAAAGUGAUUUGUGAACAGGCUUUAAUCAGGGCUGUUUGGCUUUGGAACGGAUACACAGUGCUGAUGAGUUUUCGGCAAACAGUCUCUCGAUUUGGGAGUUUCAUAGCUUUUAAUUCCAUGCUGCCUUCCUACCCCAAAAUGAUACAUGAUAGCUCAAAAGAAUAUAUUCAUUAAAAGGUAAAGGGACCCCUGACCAUUAGGUCCAGUCGUGGCCGACUCUGGGGUUGCGGCGCUCAUCUCGCUUUAUUGGCCAAGGGAGCCGGCGUACAGCUUCCGGGUCAUGUGGCCAGCAUGACUAAGCCGCUUCUGGCGAACCAGAGCAGCGCACGGAAACGCCGUUUACCUUCCCACUGGAGCGGUACCUAUUUAUCUACUUGCACUUUGACGUGCUUUCAAACUGCUAGGUUGGCAGGAGUAGGGACUGAGCAACAGGAGCUCACUCCAUCACAGGGAUUCGAACCGCCGACCUUCUGAUCAGCAAGUCCUAGGCUCUGUGGUUUAACCCACAGCGCCACCCACGUCCCUAUCUUCAUUGGUUAACCUUAAAAAAAAAAAAGAUUACCUGGAUGGAGACAUUGUGUAUUAGUAGCAACAACAACAAUUAUAACCCAAACAGAUUAUAGCCAAAAAGCAGAAAAAGAAAAGAGGUAAACAAACAAUCUCAGAAGCAUAUUACCGUAUUUUUCGCUCUAUAACACGCACCCGACCAUAACACGCACGUAGUUUUUAGAGGAGGAAAAUCCGUAGGCAUGCCACCCAUAGGCAUUCCCUCCAUAACACGCACAGACAUUUCCCCUUACUUUUUAGAGGAAAAAAGUGAGUGUUAUGGUGCAAAAAAUACAGUAAGGGCAAUAGUACUAGUUUUCUUUCAAAGAUUAGCUUGUUUUCAUGUGUGAAUGCGCACCCCAGUCAGUCACAAAUGAACAACCACACCCUAGGCCAGCGGUUCUCAACCUGUGGGUCCCCAGAUGUUGUUGGACUACAACUCCCAUCAUCCCUGAGCUCUGGCCUUGCUAGCUAGGGGUGAUGGGAGUUGUAGUUCAACAACAUCUGGGGACCCACAGGUUGAGAAAGGCUGCCCUAGGCCAACCCCAACUUCUCUCACCACCAAAGGAACACAAGCGAAUAGCAGAGAACCUGCACAAGCGACGCUGACACAAAACCCCACACGUAUAUUAAGUAAAACAGAAACAUUGCCACCUCACCCCACCCCACUCACCUUUCCCCCCUUUUCUUCUUAAUAUAACACUAAUGUCUCAACAAAUAAAACUGAUCUGUAAAAAUGUUACUUGGGGGGAAAAGAGAGAGCAAGAGAUUGCUCAUACUUUUGUAAACCAAUAAAAUCUUUAAUAAUAAUAAUAAUAAGCUUGUGUGUCAUCUCAGUUCUAAACGUAGUGGUCAUGAUCCAAGGAAAGGGAGUUGAGUGCAAAUGAACGCUGCACUCGAGUUUUCCAUAGGGGGCGGGGAAUCAGAUCCCAGAGCUGGGAUUGUGUCCAGUUAUCUCCGUUACAUGGAUCGUCUGCUUUUGGGUAAAGAAGAAAGAUGCCAAUGGUUGGGUUCAGCUCCCCAUUCCUAAUUCCAGAUUCACUUUGGAAGAGGCGCCGAUCAGCACCGUUUAAGAGAAUCUUACUGCAGUUGUUUGAUCACAGUUCAAGCCCAUGCACCAUAAUCUAUGCAUUAGAAUUCGUACAUUUAAUGCAGCUCUUGUGUCUUCUUAUCAUUCUUUUUAGUGAUGGGUUUUCCAUAUUUUUGGAGACGAGUAAGCGGCCACCUCAGAAACGACAGAAGAGGAGGAUGUGGAGAAGACAGCAAGAUUACAAGGCAGCAAAAUGACAAUGGCCACUGAAUAGAACAAACCAAAAUGGUAACAGAAAACAAUUGAAGUCUGGGUUGUAUUCAGCCAAGUCCUACUCAGAAUAGAACCAAUGAAAUAAAUCAACCUAACUUAGUCAUAUCCAUUAAUUAGCUUAAAUGGUAGGACUAGCGUUGACUACCAAC
rnacentral:lncRNA from 1 species